CGUUACAGGUUCUCAGUGUGCUUCUGCCAAAACCCAAAUUUUCUAUGGUUGACCUCGGAUCAGGUAGGGAUACCCGCUGAACUUAAGCAUAUCAAUAAGCGGAGGAAAAGAAACCAACAGGGAUUGCCCCAGUAACGGCGA
rnacentral:rRNA from 1 species